CUGGGUUCUAUGGCGUCACCUUCAUAUCUCGCUUGCAGGAUAAUACAUGGCUGCUGUUUACGAUUUUGUUGUCAGCCUGAGAUUUUAAGUUUUCGAACAUAAGAACUUGGGAUUGUUUUUUCCGGCAAAAUUAAGGAUAUGCAAGUCAGUACAAGCCUGUCGAAACUGAAACCAUGAUUGCCGAAGUCUGGCCCGAAGGCGAUGCUCAACGACUGUCCCAAACAGUAAAGGUCAGGGCAACUGACUUCUGUUUUACUUCUGCGUCAUUUUAUAAAAUCCAGUGGUUGACCUGUUGUCUGCAAAUCGCCGACUCCCGGAUAUCCCUGUUUCCGCUAAUCAACGACGUCUGCUGAAAGAACUCGGACUGUCGUGACGAAGAAAACAUGUGCCUGCGGCUGAAACUGAUUCCAUUGUUCCAGGACGGUACACGCAGCAAUCCGCCGAUAGACGACAUCGUCACUCGGAAAGGAACUACAUUAGUCCCUGCUCCCGUAUCAGCGGCAUAUACAGCACCCUUAAAACAAAGAUUGCCGAAAAAAUACAGCUGCUUCUGGUUGACUGCACAAGCAUUUUUUCUACGGUCCAGCACAGAUAUUUUUCUUUGGUGGGACUGAUACGCCGGAAGAACACAAACAAUACACGCAGCAUUACCAAAAGCUGAUGCAGAAAUGUGCCGCCACUGAGGAAUCGCUGCUGUACGAGCCGCAGCACCGAGACCAAACAAUGCCGAACCUUGGAAGCGCUGGUAGCUAAAGAACUGGAAAUAGUACCGCAGCGUCUAAUGGACAUCAUCAUCACAGUCUUGGCCGAGAGGCUGGAGAAACACGCAAACCGCUAUCAAAGCGCGAGCAGCUGUUCUAACGCGUUUGGAUUUUGUCACAAUGAAUAUGAAUUUCUACGGGAAAUUAGCUGAAGCGGAUGCGAUGUGGUGUCCAGAAGAAGAGUUGUGCACCAACUUGGACGGCAGCUUGAAUACCGCAGUUUCAAACGGCUGCCGCUUCGCUCGGUUGCCUUCGCCCCGAACAAGCUACCCCACCAUCGCUCUCCGUUUACGUGAAGCUCCAGCCUCCAAAGACUUCAUUCAUCCGGUAAAACCGGAAAUCUCACCCUUUGCCGCAGUGGCUACCAACAUUGAACCUACAGUUGGAGUACAGCUUAUUUAUUUGUGAGUUAUCGCCGAUUGCAGGAAACGCUACUGGGAGUACACCCUCUCAAAGGUGACGCUGACCUUCCUGUCCAAAUUCAUACGGUGCACCGAUGCUUUUUUACCGAGAAUGCGAUAGGAUUCCACCAAACGACAUUAAACGACCGCUCAUGCCGCCGCCAUCGUAGCUCGAGCACCCUCGGCGCUUGGGGAUACACCAGCGAUGUAGCGGCGGCCUCGAGCACCGUCGGCGCAUGGGGAUAUGGGCGAACUUAAUCCCGGACCAGCGCUGGACACCAGCGGCGGCAGAUUAGUUACCAGCUGGUGUUGAUCUUGCCUGUAAGAAACUGAGAAUACUACACUAGCGCAUGUGGACCUAAACGAGAUACGGCAUGCCGGACUCCGAGAGUUCCUGCACUUCUACCGCCAGAUGUAAUUAACCCGGGUUUAUUUUGCCGUGGAAGAGGAGGAAGAGCAACACAGUACAGAAAUCGCAGCAUCGCAGCAACAACAACUACUUAAACUGGAAGCGGUAGGCUUGAUGCAACUUUGUGAACGUUUUUGAAGUGGUGUGCUGGUGUGCUUGGUAUUUAUUUCAGAGACUUUUAAUUUGUUACGUAACCUACGUCAUUUAUUUUGUCUCAAGGUCGCAAAAUAUUGGCUUUUUGGUGAUAGCAAUGUCGAAUAAAUUUGGCUU